CCAGUCGCUGAUAACAGGACUGGACUUGCUGGAAGCGCUGUCUUUCGGCGCUCCAUACCCAUGUUGCUUCAAGGAGGAUAUGGCUAUGACGA
rnacentral:sRNA from 1 species